GAUCCUUUAGCUCAGCUGGUAGAGCACUUGACUGUUAAUCAAGCUGUCCCAGGUUCAAUCCCUGGAAGGAUCGCCA
rnacentral:tRNA from 1 species